AGUGAACGCUGGCGGUAGGCCUAACACAUGCAAGUCGAACGGCAGCACAGUAAGAGCUUGCUCUUACGGGUGGCGAGUGGCGGACGGGUGAGGAAUACAUCGGAAUCUACUUUUUCGUGGGGGAUAACGUAGGGAAACUUACGCUAAUACCGCAUACGACCUACGGGUGAAAGCAGGGGAUCUUCGGACCUUGCGCGAUUGAAUGAGCCGAUGUCGGAUUAGCUAGUUGGCGGGGCAAUGGCCCACCAAGGCGACGAUCCGUAGCUGGUCUGAGAGGAUGAUCAGCCACACUGGAACUGAGACACGGUCCAGACUCCUACGGGAGGCAGCAGUGGGGAAUAUUGGACAAUGGGCGCAAGCCUGAUCCAGCCAUACCGCGUGGGUGAAGAAGGCCUUCGGGUUGUAAAGCCCUUUUGUUGGGAAAGAAAAGCAGCAGGUUAAUACCCCGCUGUUCUGACGGUACCCAAAGAAUAAGCACCGGCUAACUUCGUG
rnacentral:rRNA from 1 species